GGGCGGCCUGGGCGAGGCCGUGGCCGGCGCUCUGCUGGAGCGCGACGUGCGGCCCGCGCGCUUUCGGCUGGCGGGCCUGCCCG
rnacentral:tRNA from 1 species